rnacentral:rRNA from 1 species
AGGUAAGCUACUAAGAGCGAAUGGUGGAUGCCUUGACUGGUAAAGGCGAUGAAGGACGUACUAGACUGCGAUAAGCUACGGGGAGCUGUCAAGAAGCUUUGAUCCGUAGAUUUCCGAAUGGGGCAACCCAAUGUAUAGAGAUAUACAUUACCUAUAUAGGAGCGAACGAGGGGAAUUGAAACAUCUUAGUACCCUCAGGAAAAGAAAUCAAUAGAGAUUGCGUCAGUAGCGGCGAGCGAAAGCGCAAGAGGGCAAACCCAGUGCUUGCACUGGGGGUUGUAGGACUGCAAUGUGCAAGAGGUAAGUUUAGCAGAACAUUCUGGAAAGUAUAACCAUAGAGGGUGAUAGUCCCGUAUGCGAAAAACAAACCUUAGCUAGCAGUAUCCUGAGUAGGGCGGGACACGAGGAAUCCUGUCUGAAUCUGGGUCGACCACGAUCCAACCCUAAAUACUAAUACCAGAUCGAUAGUGCACAAGUACCGUGAGGGAAAGGUGAAAAGAACUGAGGUGAUCAGAGUGAAAUAGAACCUGAAACCAUUUGCUUACAAUCAUUCAGAGCCCUAUGUAGCAAUACAGGGUGAUGGACUGCCUUUUGCAUAAUGAGCCUGCGAGUUGUGGUGUCUGGCAAGGUUAAGCAAACGCGAAGCCGUAGCGAAAGCGAGUCUGAAUAGGGCGCUUAGUCAGAUGCUGCAGACCCGAAACGAAGUGAUCUAUCCAUGAGCAAGUUGAAGCUAGUGUAAGAACUAGUGGAGGACUGAACCCAUAGGCGUUGAAAAGCCCCGGGAUGACUUGUGGAUAGGGGUGAAAGGCCAAUCAAACUUCGUGAUAGCUGGUUCUCUCCGAAAUAUAUUUAGGUAUAGCGUUGUGUCGUAAUAUAAGGGGGUAGAGCACUGAAUGGGCUAGGGCAUACACCAAUGUACCAAACCCUAUCAAACUCCGAAUACCUUAUAUGUAAUCACAGCAGUCAGGCGGCGAGUGAUAAAAUCCGUCGUCAAGAGGGAAACAACCCAGACUACCAGCUAAGGUCCCUAAAUCUUACUUAAGUGGAAAACGAUGUGAAGUUACUUAAACAACCAGGAGGUUGGCUUAGAAGCAGCCAUCCUUUAAAGAAAGCGUAAUAGCUCACUGGUCUAGUGAUUUUGCGCGGAAAAUAUAACGGGGCUAAAGUAAGUACCGAAGCUGUAGACUUAGUUUACUAAGUGGUAGGAGAGCGUUCUAUUUGCGUCGAAGGUAUACCGGUAAGGAGUGCUGGAGCGAAUAGAAGUGAGCAUGCAGGCAUGAGUAGCGAUAAUUAAUGUGAGAAUCAUUAACGCCGUAAACCCAAGGUUUCCUACGCGAUGCUCGUCAUCGUAGGGUUAGUCGGGUCCUAAGUCGAGUCCGAAAGGGGUAGACGAUGGCAAAUUGGUUAAUAUUCCAAUACCAACAUUAGUGUGCGAUGGAAGGACGCUUAGGGCUAAGGGGGCUAGCGGAUGGAAGUGCUAGUCUAAGGUCGUAGGAGGUUAUACAGGCAAAUCCGUAUAACAAUACUCCGAGAACUGAAAGGCUUUUUGAAGUCUUCGGAUGGAUAGAAGAACCCCUGAUGCCGUCGAGCCAAGAAAAGUUUCUAAGUUUAGCUAAUGUUGCCCGUACCGUAAACCGACACAGGUGGGUGGGAUGAGUAUUCUAAGGCGCGUGGAAGAACUCUCUUUAAGGAACUCUGCAAAAUAGCACCGUA